rnacentral:rRNA from 8 species
UUGACCUCGGAUCAGGUAGGGAUACCCGCUGAACUUAAGCAUAUCAAUAAGCCGGAGGAA